UACGAAGGGGGCUAGCGUUGUUCGGAAUCACUGGGCGUAAAGGGCGCGUAGGCGGCCUUGUAAGUCGGGGGGUGAAAGCCUGUGGCUCAACCACAGAAUUGCCUUCGAUACUGCAGGGCUUGAGACCGGAAGAGGUUAGUGGAACUGCGAGUGUAGAGGUGAAAUUCGUAGAUAUUCGCAAGAACACCAGUGGCGAAGGCGGCUGACUGG
rnacentral:rRNA from 1 species